CCCCUUCGCUCUCCAUCUCUCUACUAUCUAGAUCUACUCUAGUUUAGAGAAGAGAGGAGAGCUCUCAUCUCUAAACUGUAGCUUUUGCUGUGUCUAUGAAUAAUGAAUAAUGAUUAAGGGGUGCCUCCUCUAGGGGCCAGGGGGUCUGGUUAUAUAGUCCCCUCAAGUGAACCUGGUCCGUUGGAUCAAACAGACAUUGAUUGAACGGUUAUUCUUGA
rnacentral:lncRNA from 1 species